rnacentral:rRNA from 1 species
GACGAACGCUGGCGGCGUGCCUAAUACAUGCAAGUCGAGCGAGCGGAACCAACAGAUUUACUUCGGUAAUGACGUUGGGAAAGCGAGCGGCGGAUGGGUGAGUAACACGUGGGGAACCUGCCCCUAAGUCUGGGAGUACCAUUUGGUAAACUGGUGCUAAUACCGGAUAAUAAAGCAGAUCGCAUGAUCAGCUUUUGUAAAGGCGGCGUAAGCUGUCGCUAAGGGAUGGCCCCGCGGUGCAUUAGCUAGUUGGUAAGGUAACGGCUUACCAAGGCGACGAUGCAUAGCCGAGUUGAGAGACUGAUCGGCCACAUUGGGACUGAGACACGGCCCAA